rnacentral:rRNA from 1 species
AAUAUUGGACAAUGGGCGAAAGCCUGAUCCAGCCAUGCCGCGUGUGUGAAGAAGGUCUUCGGAUUGUAAAGCACUUUAAGUUGGGAGGAAGGGUUGUAGGUUAAUACCCUGCAAUUUUGACGUUACCAACAGAAUAAGCACCGGCUAACUUCGUGCCAGCAGCCGCGGUAAUACGUAGGGUGCAAGCGUUAAUCGGAAUUACUGGGCGUAAAGCGUGGUUAGGCGGUUCGGAAAGAAAGAUGUGAAAUCCCAGGGCUCAACCUGGGAACUGCUUUCAAAAAUGGCAGGCUAGAGUAUGGCAGAGGGUGGUGGAAUUUCCUGUGUAGCGGUGGAAUGCGUAGAUAUAGGAAGGAACACCAGUGGCGAAGGCGACCACCUGGGCUAAUACUGACACUGAGGUGCGAAAGCGUGGGGAGCAAACAGG